AGGGGGCGCGGCGUGGGGGGGGCUGUGCGGCCUGGCGCGGAGCAGAUCGGCGGGGUCGGAGAGGGGACGUUCCCCCGGAGGUCGGAGGUCAGCGCGGGCCGCCGCUCCGAGUCCCCGCCCGAAGCCGCCCCCGCGACUUGGCCUGCGUCCCCGCGGUCCCCGAGGGCGGCUCGGAUUAUUGGGCCAAACCCGCCCGGAGGCGACGGACCAGCUGCCCAGAGCUUCGCCGCAGGCCCUGGGGUGGCCGAGUGGGAACUCCUGCGGCUGCGAGCUGUGGCCCCCGCGCCCGGGUCACCCUAGGCAGCGGCACCCAGUUCCCUACCGCGCCCUCCUCAGGCAGAGGCGCCUGGGCGCAGGUGCAGGGGUGCGGCAGGAGGGCUGGUCAGCUACCAGGAGACCAGAUUGAAAGUCGAUGCGCCGGGCCCAAGCGUCUCCCUGCUGCUCGUUUACCAACCCAGAGACCACCACCGACGCUGGGACUGCCCAGGACAGGCUUCCUGCCCUCCCCCAGGCCCCCUCCGCCCCCCUGACGUGCCCCUGCCCCUGCACUUUCACCCUCACGCACCCCUGCCCCCCCCACCAGUGCCUGGGUUGUGGGUUCAGUUCGCACUUGGGCCUGGGUGGCCUGUUGGUCCCACUGCGGGUCUAGGGCAGGAGCCUGCCCCUGGGGCUCAGGGGCUGCCCAGGGAUCCUGCAGCCUUGCCUCUGAAACAUGUGUGCACCCCUGUGGGGGCAUCUCAGGGCCUAAGAGGGGGUUAACCCACACUACCUGUCACCUGCAGGUGACUCCGAGGCCCUGCCCCACAUCACAGAACCUGAUAUUCUGCUUAUGGGAAAGUGGCAUUGGGGGUGUCAUUGUCUAAGGUAAACAGCCCAGGGUUGGUGGGGGGGUGUGCACCUGAUGGCAGAGGUGCGUCCUCCGGGAGUGGCCUCUGUUCUGGCGUCCUGUCCUGUGGUUGGCUUCCCUUUGCUCUGUCGCCUGCCAGGGAACGCCCUCAGCUGCUGGUCUGUGGUGGCCGCCCCUCGGAGGUCCUGCCCUCCACUGGGGGUCCCCGCUGUGCAGUUGGGGACUCCGAGGGAGGGCCCAAGUGGGGGUUGCCUGAGGGCCCCCAUCGAUCUUACUGGCCCAUGGGGACCUGUGCAAGUGCAAGCAGGGGGAGGGUUGAGGUUGGCAGACCUGGCCCAAACUGUCCUCCCCCACCCACCAGAAAACAGGUCCCACCCCUCCCUGCACCCAGCAGGCCGUCGUGCGCCAGGUCUGGGUUUUCACGAGGAGCUCUGCUUUGCGAAGCUGCACUGGGACGUCAGGGCAGCAUCCGGGCACAGCUCACUAGCCCAGGGCAGGCAGCGGACACGUGGGGUGGCACCUAGAAGUGCCCCAAAGCCUCCUGGGCUUCUGGAAGCCCUGUGUCCUGGCCCGUGUGCCAUCCAGCCUCAUCCUCCACUAGUGGCGAGCCCGGUUCACGUCCUCAGCUGCCGGGCAGGCCCUGAGUGUGUACCAGGGUGUAGCCUUCAGAGGAAAGGGUGGCUGCGGUUGGUUCCUGUGUCCACCAGUAUUGACAAAGCAUCUGUGCCAGGGGUUUCAGUGGGCAAACACCAAGGAGCUGAGGCACUCACCAUGGCGGGAGGGUGGGGGUGGGGGUGGUGUCCAGGAAGGGGGUUUUGAGGAGACCUGAAGCUUCCAGCUGCUUGAAGAAAGAGGAAAGGCCAUUCCCUCAACUGAGGGAGUAGGGAGGUGCUCAACCUGUGCAAAGGCCCUGAGGCAGCAGCGAGCACAGGUUAUCUGAGAGUGACACUACUGUGAUUUAAAACUUGAGGGACAAAAAAAACUAAAAAAAUAAUAAAUAAAUAAAUAAAUAAAACUUGAUGGACA
rnacentral:lncRNA from 1 species